rnacentral:lncRNA from 1 species
AAAGUCGUCAGGAAGAGAUUUCUCUCUCCCUCUUUUUUUUUUUUUUAAUUAUUAUUUUUGUCUAAUUAAUACAAGCCAAACUUUGCUCUGCUGAGCGCAGCUGGCGGGGUUGCGGUGCGCGCGCCGCAGCGAGGCUGUCGGCACGCUGUCCGCCGCGAAAGCGGGGACCUGAGCAAAGGCUCCUGCUAACUCGGGAGCCUUCUCCUCAAAGUUGCACGCCCACACGUAGCAAGGCCAAGUUCUCAUCCGAACACAAGCCUCAGCCUUGCCCCAUUGAGUGUACUGUAGCAAAGGCCCUGUUUUGCCUGGGGGGAUUCAGAGCGUUCCUGGACUAGAAAGCAACAGAUGGGGAACGCCGAGAACUUCAGCUGCAAUAAAGCUACCUGUGUAUGAUUGAGCUCCAGACAGAAAGCGAUGCAGGUUCGCCUGGUGGGAGAGGUGGAGAAACUACAGUGACAGCGUUGAGCGGCGUACCCGAGAGGCCGAGCUGCCGGCGAAGCGCUCGAGCCGCCCGCCUCGCUGGCAGACUUUCCCGGCCGAGCUACGUAAGCGUACGAGCCCCUCGGUUCUCCGCCAGCAGAGCGAUCGCGGUGUCGGAGAUGUUGUCUGAAGUCAUCGUUUGCACUGCAGUCUGGAGCCUCGCAGACAGGAAAAGGGCCGGUGGGAUGUCAGCAGCAGCACCGUUGGCCGGGCGCGCGGGCGAGAGGCUCCUCCGCAGCCCGCAGGAGGAGGAGGAAGGACGGCAGCGCCUUCGCGGGAGCAGGGAUGCAGCUUCUGCUGCUCUUCCUGGGUGUCCAGUCCCUGCCCAGCUCAGCGAGCCAAGUUUUCACGUCUAAAAUUACAGCCAUCAAAGCAGUCUUGCAGGUUCAGUGGGAACCUGAGCCCCAGGAUAACCAGCGUGGAAAGCACUGCAUGCUCAGGAGAGGCAUAAAACCGUAUAAACCCCUAUUCUGCAAACUCCAAAAGCUGCUGGAAGAAAAGGCUGCCUUGCCGGCAUUAACCCCGUGGGCAGCUCCCUGCCCGGCAUGCCGAGAGCAGAGCGCGCUGCGUCGGUACGAAACCAGGGCGAGAGGCUGAGCUCAGGCGGGCCAGAGAUUUUAUUGCUCCCAAACCAAGGAGCCUGCUCUGCGGUUUUCAUGAUGGAUCGCUGCCCUUUCGUCUCAUCGUGAUUUGGCUGAAACUCGAGACAGAUGCGUAUCAUCUCUAUGGGCCCGUGGCAUGCCUCAUCUCACUGCUUGACACAAGAACAUACAGCAAGUGCUUCAUGGACAAGAUACAUGUGCUUUGGCUGUAUAAAGUAGUAAUGUUCUUCCUGUAAGAGAAAAAUUUAAUUUUGUCCUGAAUUCCACUAUACCCAAACAGAUCUCCAUUUAUAGCCUGGAUAAUAAAUCAAAGCAACAUGAAGUCUCCUGCA